rnacentral:tRNA from 1 species
GGUAUUGUGGCUCAGUGAUAGAGUGCUUGCCUAGCGUGUGAGAGGCCCUGGGUUCGAUCCUCAGCACCA